GUAGGGAAUAUUGCACAAUGGGCGAAAGCCUGAUGCAGCAACGCCGCGUGAGCGAUGAAGGUCUUCGGAUCGUAAAGCUCUUUUUGGGAAGAUGAGAAAGGACAGUAUUCCCAGAAUAAGGAUCGGCUAACUACGUGCCAGCAGCCGCGGUAAAACGUAGGAUCCGAGCGUUAUCCGAAUUUACUGGGCGUAAAGCGCGUGCAGGCGGCUUGAUAAGUUGGAUGUGAAAUCUCCUGGCUCAACUGGGAGGCGCCGUUCAAAACUAUCAGGCUAGAGGGCAGUAGAGGGAUGUGGAAUUCCCGGUGUAGUAGUGAAAUGCGUAGAUAUCGGGAGGAACACCUGUGGCGAAAGCGGCAUCCUGGACUGUUCCUGACGCUCAGACGCGAAAGCUAGGGGAGCGAACGGGAUUAGAAACCCGAGUAGUCC
rnacentral:rRNA from 1 species